rnacentral:rRNA from 1 species
CAAUAGCGUAUAUUAAAGUUGUUGCAGUUAAAAAGCUCGUAGUUGAAUUUCUGUACAGUCCCAAUUUUGGCUUCGGUCAGGUUGUGGAUUGUGCAUCCGCUUGCAAAUCUAGUUCGGCAUUAACUUGUUGGCUAGGGGAGUAAGCUUUUUACUUUGAAAAAAUUAGAGUGUUUCAAGCAGGCAAUGGCUCGAAUACAUUAGCAUGGAAUAAUGGAAUAGGACUUUUGUCCAUUUGAUUGGUUAUUGGACUUAGGUAAUGAUUAAAAGGGACAGUUGGGGGCAUUAGUAUUUAAUUGUCAGAGGUGAAAUUCUUGGAUUUAUGAAAGACGAACUACUGCGAAAGCAUUUGCCAAGGAUGUUUUCAUUAA